UUAUUGAUGAAGAGUCCCAAACUAGGACGAAACAGUUGUCCAAUAC
rnacentral:hammerhead_ribozyme from 1 species